AUGGACAAACCAGUUGAAAAAUGUGCCUUCAUUAACCUGCUGUUAUUGCACCUAGACCACUGCCCCAGGCUCGUACAUGUGCUGCCCUUGUCCAUGUGGGACAAAUACACAUUGCAGCGGCUAGGGACCAUCGAGAUAGUGCACUGCGGUGACGUCAGGGAGGUAUUCCCUUUGAGCCCUGAGCUUCAAGAGCAGGAUAAAAUUCUAGAAUUCCUGAAUCUAAGGCGCAUCCACCUGCACGAGCUCCCCAAGCUACAGCGCAUCUGUGGGCGUAGGAUGUUCAUGCCAAAACUCGAGACCAUCAAGCUCAGGGGCUGCUGGAGCCUUAGGCGUCUUCCUGCUGUCGGACGCAACACCAAGCCACCGAAGGUUGACUGCGAGAAGGAAUGGUGGGACAACCUGGAGUGGGACGGGUUGGAGAAGGGCCACGACCCUUCCCUCUACGAGCCAAGCCACUCGUUGUACAACAAGGCCCAACUGCCCCGAGGCACUGUACUCAGGUAA
rnacentral:rRNA from 1 species